rnacentral:rRNA from 1 species
CUACGGGGGGCACCAGUCGAGAAUAUUCCACAAUGGGCGAAAGCCUGAUGGAGCGACGCCGCGUGCGGGAAGAAGGCCUUCGGGUCGUAAACCGCUUUUAACUGGGAAGAAGUUCGCAAGAAUUGACGGUACCAGUUGAAUAAGGGGGUCCUAAUUCUGUGCCAGCAGGAGCGGUAAUACAGAACCCCCGAGCGUUAUCCGGAUUUAUUGGGCGUAAAGUGCGGGCAGGAGGUUUAUUAAGUCCGAUGUUAAAUCCCAGAGCCUAACUUUGGAACCGCAUUGGAUACUAUUAAACUAGAGGACGCGAUAGGCAGAUGGAACAGCCGGUGUAGGGGUGAAAUCCGUUGAUAUCGGCUGGAACACCAAAGGCGAAGGCAGUCUGCUGGGGCGUUCCUGACUCUGAGCCGCGAAAGCGUGGGGAGCAAAAAGGAUUAGAUACCCGCGUAGUC